UGAAACCAGGUUAGAUACCCUGUUAUACCUGAGUUAAAAUGAUAUUAAUCUUGAGUAGUAAUAAUUGAUUAGUUCGAAAUUCAAAGGGUUUGGCGGUGUUUUAGUCUGGUUAGAGGAACCUGUUUUAUAAACGAUAGUCCACGUAAAAUCUUUCUCAUUCUUGUUCGAGCUAGUAUACCAUCAUUAUUAGAUAAUUUUAUUUGUUAAAGAAAUUGUUGUAAUUAGAUUUGUCUAAAUAUAUUAGAUCAUGGUGCUGCCAAUGAAGGAGUAAAAAUGGGUUACAAUAAUUUUAAUCUAUUACGGAUUCGUAGUUGAAAAGUAACGUUGAAGGUGGAUUUAAUAGUAAUAUGAAUUUAAUAUGUUUAUAUGAGAUUGGCUCUAGAAUAUGUACAUAUCGACCGUCGCAA
rnacentral:rRNA from 1 species